rnacentral:rRNA from 1 species
UACAGAGGGGGCAAGCGUUGUUCGGAAUUACUGGGCGUAAAGGGCGCGUAGGCGGCCCGCUAAGUCGAACGUGAAAUCCCCGAGCUCAACUCGGGAACUGCGUCCGAUACUGGUGGGCUUGAAUCCGGGAGAGGGAUGCGGAAUUCCAGGUGUAGCGGUGAAAUGCGUAGAUAUCUGGAGGAACACCGAUGGCGAAGGCAGGUCUCUGGGCUGACACUGACGCUCAUGCACGAAAGCGUGGGGAGCAAACAGG